rnacentral:rRNA from 1 species
GGACGGAUGGGGAUGAGCCUGCGGCUGAUUAGCUAGUUGGUGAGGUAACGGCUCACCAAGGCGACGAUCAGUAGCUGGUCUGAGAGGACGAACAGCCACACUGGAACUGAGACACGGUCCAGACUCCUACGGGAGGCAGCAGUGAGGAAUAUUGGUCAAUGGGAGCAAUCCUGAACCAGCAAUGCCGCGUGUGGGAUGACAGGGCUCAGCCUUGUAAACCACUGUCGGACGGGACGAAAGGGACCCUCGGGGUCCUGGGACGGUACCGUCAAAGGAAGGGUCGGCUAACUACGUGCCAGCAGCCGCGGUAAUACGUAGGACCCGAGCGUUGUCCGGAUUCACUGGGUAUAAAGGGUGCGUAGGCGGCCUUGUGCGUCAGAGGUGAAAUAUCCAGGCUUAACCUGGAGGGUGCCUUUGAUACGGCAGGGCUUGAGUGCGGGAGAGGAUGAUGGAAUUCCUGGUGUAGCGGUGAAAUGCGUAGAUAUCAGGAGGAACACCGGUGGCGAAGGCGGUCAUCUGGUCCGCUACUGACGCUGAGGCACGAAAGCGCGGGGAUCAAACAGGAUUAGAUACCCUGGUAGUCCGCGCCCUAAACGAUGUAUGCUUGGUGCUGGGUCCGCAAGGACUCAGUGCCGGAGGGAAUCCGGUAAGCAUACCACCUGGGGAGUACGAUCGCAAGGUUAA